AGUGAUGGGUGUCCUAUGCCUUACCUGAGCUGCAGAGGAAGGGGUCAGCUGUUUUUACUUCCUGCAGGGAUGCCAGCCCUUCUAGUAUACUUGAUGUGUCAAAACUGAAUAGGAAUAUAUCUCAGGUAACAGCAUUGUUGGUUGAGCAUGGAGUUUUCCGUAAACAAAUAGAGGAGUGUCUCAUACUGAAAAUAAAGCUGUACCUAGUGCUAUCAAAUUUCCCUCAAGACUGCAUGUUUGACAUGAAGACUGUAGCUUGUUGACCUAGGCAACAGGGGAGCUGUACCCGUAAAAGGGGUGUUGGAAGAAGAAGAAUGCCUGUUUUUAUAACAUCUUCAGUAAAAGAGAUGCUCAUUUGCACUGAGGAAGUGUGGAACAUGCACUCAGCAAUAAUUUCUCCAAACACCAGUUACCAGAUAUGUUUCCAGACACUUGGCAAUCUCCUGAGCUUCUAAAUUGGAGUGGUCAUGUUCUCCAUUGCCCUGAUUGUUCAUUGGGAAUCAAUGGAGGAUUUUGCCUGAUAUCCAUUUGCA